AAGCUAAUUUAAAAAAAAAAACUUAAAAUCCUCUGUAGGGGGAGAAGAAAAGAACCUUCCGAGCUCCGGCCUCCGGCCUUCGUCGCCCACGCGCCAUACACGCCACCGCACACGGCGGUUGGAAGGAGAAAAGCCCCCAUUUUUCCAGGCGAAUCACAGGUAACCUCUUUUCUCUUCUAAAUACUGGUGGUUUUUUUAAAAAAACAAUUCAUACGCGUCGAACAACAGGAAAUAAACCAUAAGGAAAGAAAAAUGUAACUAAAUCACCUUUUCCACAAUGAAAUUGUUUGUAUUUCUCCCUUUUUUGUAUAUAUGCGUGUAUCUGUUUUUAUAUAUGUGAAAAAAAAAAUGUCCUCCUUUACAGUGAAAUACAUUUGGCUUUUAUAGCCCCUAUACAAAUUUGGUGUAUUCUUCUAUUCGAUUCCUUGCCAUAAUUGCUGCGUAUCUCUUUCCUUUUUUUACAGGUGACGACGAGAAGACCAGCGAUGAUCGGGCGCUGAUGAUGGCACACUGGCGUGCCGAUUGCGGCGUGAGACGAGGGGUCGCUGACUACGGCGUGACGAUUGGGAUCAUGCUUGCGGCGCGAGUGUUUUUGGAAACCUUAGGGUUUCCUGAUUCGGUUUAAGAAUUGGGCCUUCAUGGGCUUUAUUGAUUUGGGUCUAGUUCGGGUAUUUGGGCUAAGGGUUUUAGGUGUAAUGAGAUUCAAUAUAUGGGCUACUGAUGUGAUUUGUAAAUGGGCCAUAAGUAGUGCUCCAGUUGGGCUAUGUAUAUAGGCUAUCAAUUUGGACUGUAAAAAAGACUUUUAUUAUUUUUUGUUUUAUUUUUUACGGGCUGGGCAAAUUUGAGUUAUUACACUUAUUUAAAUUAAAUCAAUCCUAUAUAUAUAGAAGUCUAAAUAACUUUUUUUAAUGUAACACAUUUUUGUAACUAUUUAAACAAAAUGUU
rnacentral:lncRNA from 1 species